CCUACGGGCGGCUGCAGUGGGGAAUUUUGGACAAUGGGCGCAAGCCUGAUCCAGCCAUGCCGCGUGCGGGAAGAAGGCCUUCGGGUUGUAAACCGCUUUUGUCAGGGAAGAAAUCCCUUGGGCUAAUACCCCGGGGGGAUGACGGUACCUGAAGAAUAAGCACCGGCUAACUACGUGCCAGCAGCCGCGGUAAUACGUAGGGUGCAAGCGUUAAUCGGAAUUACUGGGCGUAAAGCGUGCGCAGGCGGUCGUGCAAGACAGAUGUGAAAUCCCCGGGCUUAACCUGGGAACUGCAUUUGUGACUGCACGGCUGGAGUGCGGCAGAGGGGGAUGGAAUUCCGCGUGUAGCAGUGAAAUGCGUAGAUAUGCGGAGGAACACCGAUGGCGAAGGCAAUCCCCUGGGCCUGCACUGACGCUCAUGCACGAAAGCGUGGGGAGCAAACAGGAUUAGAUACCCUUGUAGUCA
rnacentral:rRNA from 1 species